rnacentral:rRNA from 1 species
UAUUGGGCAAUGGAGGAAACUCUGACCCAGCGACGCCGCGUGAGGGAUGAAGGCCUUCGGGCUGUAAACCUCUUUCAGUAGGGAAGAAGCGAAAGUGACGGUACCUACAGAAGAAGCACCGGCUAACUGUGUGCCAGCAGCCGCGGUAAUACAUAGGGUGCAAGCGUUGUCCGGAAUUAUUGGGCGUAAAGAGCUCGUAGGUGGUUCGAUACGUCGGAUGUGAAAAUCAGGGGCUCAACCCCUGACCUGCAUCCGAUACGGUCGAGCUAGAGUUUGGUAGGGGAGACUGGAAUUCCUGGUGUAGCGGUGGAAUGCGCAGAUAUCAGGAGGAACACCGAUGGCGAAGGCAGGUCUCUGACCAAUACGACACGAGGAGCGAAA